AUGCCGAAAGAUACACCAAAACAGAAUAGAUCACAAACAACCAUGAAUUACAUAAAAAUACUCUUCUUACACAUACGACACAAAUUAAAAAUAUUAAUAGACCAAAGUACCACCAUCCUUGGAGCUAAAUCACUGCACCAACUCCACUUGCAAAACCAGAUAACACCAAUGCCUCACAAAGUGACACUCUAG